rnacentral:rRNA from 1 species
AACGAACGCUGGCGGCAGGCCUAACACAUGCAAGUCGAGCGAGGACUUCGGUUCUAGCGGCGGACGGGUGAGUAACGCGUGGGAAUGUGCCCUUCUCUACGGAAUAGCCCUGGGAAACUGGGAGUAAUACCGUAUACGCCCUAUUGGGGAAAGAUUUAUCGGAGAAGGAUCAGCCCGCGUUGGAUUAGGUAGUUGGUGGGGUAAUGGCCUACCAAGCCGACGAUCCAUAGCUGGUUUGAGAGGAUGAUCAGCCACACUGGGACUGAGACACGGCCCAGACUCCUACGGGAGGCAGCAGUGGGGAAUCUUAGACAAUGGGGGCAACCCUGAUCUAGCCAUGCCGCGUGAGUGAUGAAGGCCUUAGGGUUGUAAAGCUCUUUCAGCUGGGAAGAUAAUGACGGUACCAGCAGAAGAAGCCCCGGCGAACUCCGU